rnacentral:rRNA from 1 species
GAUGAACGCUAGCUACAGGCUUAACACAUGCAAGUCGAGGGACGGGCGCACGGGUGAGUAACACGUAUCCAACCUGCCCUUUACUCGGGGAUAGCCUUUCGAAAGAAAGAUUAAUACCCGAUAUAAAGGAUGGGGAUGCGUUCCAUUAGGUUGUUGGUGAGGUAACGGCUCACCAAGCCUUCGAAGGAUAGGGGUUAUGAGAGGAAGGUACCCCGGAAUGGAACCAAGGCACAGACCAAACUGGUAGGGGAGGCAGGAGUGAGGAAUAUUAGGGACUGGAGGCUAGCGUAGACCAGCCGAGUAGAUGGAAGGAGGAAGGGUUAGGAAACGAAUUCUUGUUUGGUAGAAGGAUCGGUACUAUAAGAAUAAGGAUCGGCUAACUCCGUGCCAGCAGCCGCGGUAAUAC